CUUGUCCUUUAAUUGUUUAUAAUUUAAUUUUCUUCUGCUUGAAAUUUUGUCCAUUAUAAGCUAUUUUCAUAUUUGUGAGAAAAUGAAAUCACAGAAUUUCAAAAUUUUGGGGACGAAGAUAUACAACCUUCCACCAAAUCCAGUUUUCUGGCAAUGGAAAUCAGAGAAACACUGUUCCUGAAAGCUUCUGUCACUCAAGAAUCCAUGAAACAUUCAUGAACUUCACAUCAGAAGCCAAGCCCAGAAAAUAUGGGUUUAAGGUUUGCCUAUAUGUCCAAUACAAGAGAAAAAAGAACAUUCCACUUCUUUAGAAGGUUCUACUUUGAUCUCCUGAUUCCAGUUGUGAAAAAAAAUUGUGCCUAAAGAAUAUAGUCCCUUUAUAGAAUUGUUUUGAAACCUACCACAGGUAUUUCUACACAGAUUUUAAUGCAACUUGUUACACAAGAUGAACCCAAACAUAUUUGACUUUUUAUUUUCAGAAAAGCUUAAUACAUAGUUUUGAAUAUGGAUUGUCCCACAGGAUAAAUGCAUGAAAAAAGUUGGAAAAGAGAAAUUGAAUUACAUCCUAAUUGUAGUGUUUUCUCAGGCAGAUCAAUUUUAGAAAGAGAACAUUGACUUGGAAAACUGAAGAGUAAUUAUUCUAAAACGGUUGUAACAGUUUACUCCUUUUAUGUUUGCAAACUUCCAGGAUUAGUGAGUUGCAUAAAGUCACAUAAUUUAUUGCGUUGGUGCAAAAGUAAUUGUGGUUUUUGCCAUUAACAAAACCGCAAUUACUUUUGCAUCAGCCUAAUAUAAGUGAAUAAAUUAAUAUUAGAACACAGGUCUAAUUAAAAGGUUCUGCUGUGUUGUGUCCUGUGAUAACACAGAAAACAAACAAAUGGAUAAUUACAGAAAAAUUUUGGAUAUAAAAUUAGCAGGUAAUUUUCUCCCUCCUUUCCUUCCAUCUUUCCAUCCUUCUUUGCUUCCUUUGCUUUCUUCUUUUCCUUUGUUUUUUGUUUCUCUCUCUCUCUUUUUUUUUUUUUUUUUUUUUUUUUGCAAUUUGGAGAAGGAAGUACUUUAAAAGAAAAGUUAAAAGGCAGACAUAGAUAGCAUGAAGCCUAAUUGCAAGAUCUUUUUCAAACAUAUUAGUUUUAGGAAAUAGCACCUGAAUUUAAGUCCCUUAAAAUUGUCUAUGUCUUCACGUCCAAGUCUCUAUAUUUGCAGGGCUGUGUACAAUCUAGACUGAACAUGCUUGACCUAAAAACAGAAGUAAUACCUGGGGCAAAGCACGAUGUGCACCACAGUCUUCUCUCUUUAGUGUGUUAAGAUAAAGUUGAUUCCCAGAGUAGCCUGCCAUCACUAACUCUGAGGGAUGGUGGGCUAAUUUUGAUAGAAGGAGCAGAGGUGGUAGUUAGGAGGAAGGUGACUCAUCAUCAUUGUAUCAGCAGGCAUUGAUGACUGGAAAUAUCAGGGGGCACAGCCUGAAAGAGAAUGGCUUAAUUGGAAUUGAUAGUGGGAACUUGGAAAUCAAUACAUAUGCACUGAACAGAAAAUGGUAUGCUAUAAUCUACUAUACACUGUAUGUGAAACCCAAGCUCCAAAUUUUUCGGCCCAUGCAAUGUCCAGUAAAAUUUCUCUUAGUUACAUUAUAAUUGCAAUGUACAUGUAUUUGAGGAAAAAAAAAGUGAAAGAAAAAGUAACUAAAGAAAAGUGGAAAUGCAAAACUUUGUUUUUAUUAAUGUUAAAAUUUAUUUUGAUCAACUUGCUAUUCUUAAAAUUGACCAAUCUUCUUCCCUUCCUUGCCUCUUCCAUGGUUUAUAGGAUUAUUUUUCAGGGCUGAUCAGUUGGUGUUACAUGUGACUACUAUGCUUAAUGCUAUCUGGCUUCUAACUUUAAGCACUGAAAAAAAGUCCUUCGUAUUUCUCAGUGUGUGAUUGAACUGAGAUGACCAUCCUAAGCCUCCUCAUUACAUAAAUCCUUACCUUCUCCAGAAGCAACGAAUGGUGUUGAGAAUAGCAUAUGUUACUACUCAGCCAUAUUCCAUAGCCUUUUCUCCAAGAUAUUUUUCCAAAGUUGCCCCUUUUCUGAAUCCCUUGCAAGCAAACAAACAACAAAACAAUGGGUAAUAAAAUAAUUGUUUAACUUUCAUUUAUAUGCUCUGAGAUUGAUGUGAUUUUGAUAAAUAACUAUAUUAAAAGACAAAUGGGAGUGGUGAUUUUGUGAAAAGCCCAUGCCUCUGCCCAUGGAAUAUGUGGCUUGGCCUGGAGCUCUUAUUUUACUUAUAUAUUUCUAAGCAGAAUUAUUCAAGAAUGUCUCUUAUUACAGGUCUUGAAACUUGGACAGCCAACAGAAAGGAAGCUAAUAAAUAAAUUUGUCAGAACACGAUUCUCAGUUUCACUUAUUUUGAAUUAAAGGUAACCUGGAAAAUGGAUUAGGAAAACAGCCUAUAAUCAGAGGAGUGACCCCAGUGAGACCCUGUCAUUAAAACUUUAGUGUUGAGCCUGCAAACCUCUGUUCCUCUGAUUAGGCAAUUUACUCCAUUUCCACCUUUCUGUCUGCCAAAACAUUUAGUGGCAAAACAUUUUCUAAUUCUCUAGACUCAUAAAAUGUUGUUUUGAAAAAAAGUAAAACAGAAUGGAUUACCUUUUUAAGCUGUCUAUCAUAAUGUAAUCAGAAAACAUGAGGGAUUAAUAGAUAAUAUUGUAAAGAGGCAAAGGCAGCAGAUGUUAUUUAGAUGAGCAGAAGGUCACAGACCUCUGUUGAGGAUUGAAAGCUUGAGGUACGUGCCUUUGUUCCUCAGUGUGUGUGGAUCAGAGUGAUUACUGAUAUCAGUUAGCAACAUGGUGGAGGGGACAAACUGGGGCUGCAUUUUCACUAUGUUUAUUAUUGCUCAAGGUCAAAAAGUGACUGUGUAGUGCCUCAGUUUUUACAUCUUUGUGUUAUCAAUAUUUUUUUCUAUUACCUUACAAGUUUAUUUUGAUGCUGUAAUGAUGAGACAGUGUUUUGAAAAGUUCUAAAUAAAUAAAAGGGUAUUCUCUAACUUUUAAAUUCUGACUUUGAUAUUUUAAAACUAUAACAGAGUUUCAAAACAUAUGGAGAAAAAACCCAAAUAGAACUCAAAAGAGAAAUGGACAAAUCCGUAAUUUCCAUCAUUAUUAGGGAUUUCAACAUUCCUCUUCCAGUAAUUAAUAAAACAAGCAGACAGAAGUUUAGAAAAACUAUGCAAGACUUGAACAUACUGUUAACCAAAUUGGCCCAGUCCUCCAAUAGUGGAAAUAAAAUGAAAUACUAAAAUAGUCAAACAAAAGGAAGACAGGACAAGAGUUGAACAAGGAUAAAGAAUAGGUGUGACAAAUGAUACAAAUAACAAUCUGGUAAAGUGAAAACCAGCCAUAUCAAUAAUAUAGUAAAGGAAAAUAGUCUAAAUAGAACGGAAAUGUUUAAGAUUUGAAGACUGGAUAUAAACCAAGCUUCAAUGUGAUGAUAUAUACAAGACAGAUAUUAUAAACAUAAAGAUAUAAAAAAUUAAAAAUAAAAGUGUGAAAAUCUAUAUGAUACAAACACUAACCAUAAGAAUGCUGGAGUGGCAUAUUAUAUCAGACAAAGAGAGUAUUAAAGUAGAUAUAGAAGAACAUUACAUAUUGAUAAAAGAAAAUGCCAGUUAGGUCAAGUUAUUGAUGGUAUUUAUCA
rnacentral:lncRNA from 10 species